GACGAACGCUGGCGGCGUGGAUUAGGCAUGCAAGUCGAACGGUAUCAUCCUUUCGGGGGUGAGAGAGUGGCGAACUGGUGAGUAACACGUAGGUUAUCUACCCUCAAGACGGGGACAACCCAGGGAAACUUGGGCUAAUACCGGAUGUGAGCAACUUUUAGUUGUUUGAAAGGUGGCGUAAGCUGUCGCUUGGGGAUGAGCCUGCGUCCUAUUAGUUAGUUGGUGAGGUAACGGCUCACCUAGGCAAUGAUAGGUAGGCGGCCUUAACGGGUGGUCGCCCACACUGGGAUUGAGAUACGGCCCAGACUCCUACGGGAGGCAGCAGUCGAGAAUAGUCUACAAUGGUCGGAAGACUGAUAGUGCGACGCCGCGUGAACGAUGAAUCCCUUCGGGGUGUAAAGUUCUUUUAUAUGUGAGCAGUGCUUCUUAUAUUAACAGUUAAUGGGGGAAGAGAGAUAUUAGCAUAUGAAAUAAGCAACGGCUAACUCCGUGCCAGCAGCCGCGGUAAU
rnacentral:rRNA from 1 species